GACGAACGCUGGCGGCGUGCUUAACACAUGCAAGUCGAACGCUGAAGCUCAGCUUUUGUUGGGUGGAUGAGUGGCGAACGGGUGAGUAACACGUGAGUAACCUGCCUCCUUCUUUGGGAUAACGCCCGGAAACGGGUGCUAAUACUGGAUAUUCACUGGUCUUCGCGUGGGGGUUGGUGGUAAGGGUGUUUCUGGUGGGGGUUGGGCUCGCGGCCUAUCAGCUUGUUGGUGGGGUGAUGGCCUACCAAGGCUUUGACGGGUAGCCGGCCUGAGAGGGUGACCGGGAACAUUGGGACUGAGAUACGGCCCAGACUCCUACGGGAGGCAGAAGUGGGGAAUAUUGCACAAUGGGCGCAAGCCUGAUGCAGCGACGCCGCGUGAGGGAUGGAGGCCUUCGGGUUGUGAACCUCUUUCGCUCAUGGUCAAGCCGCAACAAUGGUUGUGGUGAGGGUAGUGGGUAAAGAAGCGCCGGCUAACUACGUG
rnacentral:rRNA from 1 species